GUAUAGUCCUUAAUAGUCGCCAAAACGCGUUUCGCCUGGUACAACAGGCUUCCUCAGUCGGCUAAAUUGUCCACUGUUUCGUCUUCUCGGUUAUUUAAAAAGUCCGCUCAAUUUUACUUCCGGGUUCCGGUUUUCGUUUCGGUGGAACGCAGUUAUGCGUUCCAGUGAUAUCACUUCCUGUUCCGUCACUUCCGGGUUGAUGCCUUGUUCGAUUGGAACGCAUCAUGCGUUCCAAUCGUACCAUUUCCUGUUUCGUCACUUCCGGAUGCCAAUCUCAGC